rnacentral:rRNA from 1 species
AUGGAGGUCAUGGCGGGGGCGGUGCUGAGCGCGCUCCUCCACAAGCUGGACGCCGUGCUGACGGACGAGUACAACCUGCAGAGGAGCCUGAGGGGCGAGAUCAUGUUCCUCCGAGCCGAGCUGGAGAGCAUGCAGGAGGCCCUCGAAAGGGUAUCGUCCUCGUCGACGCCGCAGCCGGUCGACAUGCAGGUCAGGAUCUGGGUAGGGCAAGUCAGGGAGCUCUCCUACGACGUCGAAGACAGCAUCGACAGGUUCAUGGUGCGCGUCGACCUCCACCAUCCGGGGUUCAGCGGGUUCAUCGGCAGGUGCCUGAGUCUGCUGACCACGGCCCGGGUUCGCCAUCGGAUCGCCGCGGACAUCAGGGGCAUCAAGGGCCGCGUCAAGGAGGUCGCUGACCGCCGUGACAGGUACAAGGUUGACGACGAUGUUUUCGCGGUCCGGCGGCCUGCGGGCACCACCACCGUCGAUCCUCGCUUGCAUGGCAUGUACGAGGAUACGACGAGGCUCGUCGCGGUGGGCGGGCCAAGGGCGGAGUUAUGCAGGUUGUUGGUGGAGCAAGAAAGUUCAACUGCCAUGGAUGGUCAACUGAAGGUGGUCUCCAUUGUUGGGGUGGGUGGCCUGGGCAAGACGACUCUGGCCAACGUCGUGUACCAGCAGAUCAGAGGGCAGUUUGAUUGCGACGCCUUUGUCAUGGUGCCCCUCAAGCCCGAUCUGAGGAGGGUUUUGGGCAGCUUGCUCCGUCAGGUUAGUAAGCAGAGUUACAGCGAGGUUGAAGCAUGGGAUGUUGUGGAAAUCAUUGACAAAAUCAGACAAGUUCUUCGAGAUAAGAGGUACUUAAUUAUUGUUGAUCAUAUAUGGGACGAAUCAGCUUGGAAUUAUAUAAAGACUGUACUAGUUGAGAACAACUGCAGUAGCAGAGUAAUCACAACAACACGUACUGCUGGUGUUGCUGCAUCAUGCAGUUCUUCCAUCGACGGUAACAUUUAUAAACUAAAUCCUCUUGGUCAUGAUGAUUCGAAGAAGUUGUUCUAUGAAAGAAUAUUUGGGAGUAAAGAUGGUUCUCAUGUGGAACUGAGAGAAAUAUCUGAGAAAAUCAUAAGAAAGUGUGAUGGUGUACCAUUAGCUCUCAUCACUAUUGCCAGCCUAUUGUCUCACAAAUCAAUGAACAUACAUGAAUGGGACACUGUCAACAAAUCAAUCUGUUCUGGACUUGAGAAAUUCCCCAAUAUGGAGGACAUGCGUCAGAUAUUGUCUAUUACUUAUUAUGAUUUGCCGUCCCAUCUAAAACCCUGCUUUCUAUACCUAAGUGUUUAUCCGGAGGAUUAUACAAUAUUGAGUGAUCACUUGGUACGAAGAUGGAUAUCCGAAGGCUUUGUCCAUGGAAGUGAUGUGGAUACCUUAUAUAAAGUUUGGUUUGGUUACUUCAGUGAUCUUAUUAACCGAAGCCUAAUUCAACCACAACAUGUAGAUUCUCGUGGCAAUGUAGGGGCUUGUCGUGUACAUGGUAUGGUCCUUGAUUUGAUCACAUCCUUGUCAGUUGAAGAAAAUUUUGUCACUACAUUAGAUAGCCAUCAACCUAGUGAUCUUUCAAAGAAGAUACAUCGAUUAUCCAUCCAAAACAAUCAAGAACAUCACACCAUGUCACUUUCUAUGGUGAGCUUAUCCCACGUGAGAUCAUUUAUCAUCUUUCCUAGUGCUACAAAAUUGAUGCCGCCUCUUUCAAGAUUUCAAGUUCUGCGAGUGUUGGAUCUAGAAGGUUGCCGUGACUUGGAGAAUCAUCAUAUUCAUGGUGUUUGGAAUUUAUUUCAUUUGAGGUAUCUAGGACUAAGGGAUACAAAUAUUACCAAAAUCCUGAAAGGAGUAGGGAAUCUGUAUUCUUUGCAAACAUUGGAUUUGAGUCAAAGUGGCAUAACUGAUCUGCCAUCAACCAUUGUUCAGUUAAGGAAACUUGUGUGCCUAUACAUUGAAACAUCGGUAAAGCUACCAGAUGAGAUUGGAGCCAUGAAAUCUCUAUAGGUUCUGUCUACGGUCGGUGUGAGUAACUCGCCAAACUUCUCAAAGGAACUAGGUUAUCUUACGGAUACGAGGGUUCUUAAAAUUUCGCUAUCUGGAACAUGGGACAAGAAUUAUGAGAAACAUUUGUUAUGUUCUUUGUGCAAGUUGAAAAAAAUCAAGGAAAUAAUCAUUCAAUCUUCUGGAGUUCCCACAAAAUUCAUUAUGGAUUUAGGAUGGACCCCUCACAACCUUCGAUAUUUUUUCGGCAACAUACCUAGAUUACCGGAAUGGAUGAACUCCUCACUCUCAGAACUGUCCACUUUAAUCAUCACACUAGACAAAAUCCAUCAGGAAGACCUUGGCACUCUCGGCAACAUCCCAUUUCUGCAUUAUCUCUGUGUUACUAUGCACAAAAUCAAAAAGGCAAAAGAAAGGUUGAUUAUCGGUACUGAUCAUGCAAACUUUAAGUGCCUAUCUGAGUUUCACAUGCACAAUGAUUCAUUGGGGAUCAUGUUUGUAGAAGGAGCCAUGCGAAGGCUCCAAACCCUCGAGGUUACAUUUCAGGUUCGCGAGGCGAAGGAUGAAUACAAUAAUUUUGAGGUCGGCUUGGAGAACCUCCAUUCUAUUAAGCUGGUCACAAUUCGAAUGCAUUGUUCUGGUUCCAGGCUCGUUGAGGUGGAGGAAGCUGAUGCUGCUAUGAGGAAGACAUCCUAUGUGAAUCCCAAACAUCCGAGGGUUGACGUGAUUAGAUAUUAUGAAGAUGAAAUGAUAGAGGAUGAGGAGAAAUCUCAACUCGAUGAGGAAGCAUUCAAAGAACAAGAGAUCAUUCUUGAGAAGAUUGGACCUUGGGGAGGAAAUACAUGGAGAAAACGCGACAUAAAAGUGGCACCACGUUAUCUAAGAAGUGUGAGAAUUUGCUGUGGUGAUGUUAUAAAUGCGUUUGCAUUUUCUUACCUGGACAUAAUUGAGAAUCUGCAUGAGACACCUCUUGGGGGUGGUGUUGGUGGGACCAUCCACACGAUUCUAGUAGAACCCUCGGAGUUUGUGAUUGAACUUUCAGGGACUUUUGGUCCAUAUGGUCAAUUUCCGAGCAUCAUAAAGUCACUUAUGCUUGUGGCCAACUUACGUACCUAUGGGUCUUUUGGGAAGCUACAUGGAACUCGUUUCCACUCUCGAGUGAAGAAAAAUGACAGUAUUGUUGGCUUCUUUGGAGAAGCAGGGGAAUUUCUAGAUGCAAUAGGUGUUUACAUUCAUCCUUAG